GGUUCCAUAUGCAGCAUUACCGCCCGCGCUGCACCCUUCUCCUCCAUAACCGCUUUGCACUCCUCGUCUAACCAAUCGUGAAUCUAUGACAAAAGGUCGAAAGACAUAAGGUCGAAGGACAAAAGGUCGAAGGACAAAAGGUCGAAUGGACAAAAGGUCGAAUGGACAAAAGGUCGAAUGGACAAAAGGUCGAAUGGACAAAAGGUCGAAUGGACAAAAGGUCGAAUGGGACAGAAGGUCGAAUGGACAUAAGGUCGAAUGGACAAAAGGUCGAAUAGAACAAAAGGUAUAAUUGACAGUAGACAAUUUGGAAGACAUGAUAAAGUGGUCAGUAUUUGACAGAAAAACGACAAUUAACUUAAAUGCAGCUAUUUACUACCGCAUUGCAAUUCGAAAUAGAUGCCUAGAAUAAUAGAAAGUAGAAGGCAAUAGAAGGAUAUAAAGUAAUGUUAUUCAUGAAAGUGAAAUCCGCCGAAAAUGCUUUGAAGCUCUUUGAAAUGCCUCCAAAAUCCCCCUUAAAACCCCAGAAACCCCAUGUAACGCACCUCAGACCUUCCGAAACCCCUGAAAACGCUAUGUAACGCUUCCGUAACGUUUGUGAAAUCCGCCGAAAAUUCUCUGAAGCUCUUUGGAAUGCCUCCAAAAUCCCCCUUAAACCCCCGCAAACCCCAUGUAACGCACCUCAGACCCUCCGAAA